CCUGUCUGUUACCUCAGGUGUCAUUCCAUAGGUUAGCUGUCUGUCUGUUACCUCAGGUGUCAUUCCAUAGGUUAGCUACCUGUCUGUUACCUCAGGUGUCAUUCCAUAGGUUAGCUACCUGUCUGUUACCUCAGGUGUCAUUCCAUAGGUUAGCUACCUGUCUGUUACCUCAGGUGUCAUUCCAUAGGUUAGCUACCUGUCUGUUACCUCAGGUGUCAUUCCAUAGGUUAGCUGUCUGUCUGUUACCUCAGGUGUCAUUCCAUAGGUUAGCUGUCUGUCUGUUACCUCAGGUGUCAUUCCAUAGGUUAGCUGUCUGUCUGUUACCUCGGGUGUCAUUCCAUAGGUUAGCUACCUGUCUGUUACCUCAGGUGUCAUUCCAUAGGUUAGCUACCUGUCUGUUACCUCAGGUGUCAUUCCAUAGGUUAGCUGUCUGGAGUGGAAACAUUAUUUUCCUGUUCACUGUGGAUAAAGCAGAUGACUGUGUUGAAAACUGUUCUUGAAAACUAAAACUUAAUAUUGCUGAUGUUGUCU